UGGAGGCAGCAGUAAGGAAUAUUGGACAAUGGGGGAAACCCUGAUCCAGCCAUGCCGCGUGAGUGAUGAAGGCCCUAGGGUUGUAAAGCUCUUUCGGCGGGGAAGAUAAUGACGGUACCCGCAGAAGAAGCCCCGGCUAACUUCGUGCCAGCAGCCGCGGUAAUACGAAGGGGGCUAGCGUUGCUCGGAAUCACUGGGCGUAAAGCGCACGUAGGCGGAUCCUUAAGUCAGGGGUGAAAUCCUGGAGCUCAACUCCAGAACUGCCUUUGAUACUGAGGACCUUGAGUUCGGGAGAGGUGAGUGGAACUGCGAGUGUAGAGGUGAAAUUCGUAGAUAUUCGCAAGAACACCAGUGGCGAAGGCGGCUCACUGGCCCGAUACUGACGCUGAGGUGCGAAAGCGUGGGGAGCAAACAGGAUUAGAAACCCGUGUAGUCCU
rnacentral:rRNA from 1 species